rnacentral:rRNA from 1 species
UAGGGAAUCUUCGGCAAUGGACGAAAGUCUGACCGAGCAACGCCGCGUGAGUGAAGAAGGUUUUCGGAUCGUAAAACUCUGUUGUUAGAGAAGAACGUUGCAUAGAGUGGAAAAUUAUGCAAGUGACGGUAUCUAACCAGAAAGGGACGGCUAACUACGUGCCAGCAGCCGCGGUAAUACGUAGGUCCCGAGCGUUGUCCGGAUUUAUUGGGCGUAAAGCGAGCGCAGGUGGUUUAAUAAGUCUGAUGUAAAAAGGCAGUGGCUCAAACCAUUGUGUGCAUUGGAAACUGUUAGACUUGAGUGCAGUAGAGGAGAGUGGAAUUCCAUGUGUAGCGGUGAAAAUGCGUAGAUAUAUGGAGGAACACCGGUGGCGAAAAGCGGCUCUCUGGACUGUCACUGACACUGAGGCUCGAAAAGCGUGGGUAGCAAACAGGAUUAGAUACCCUGGUAGUCCACGCCGUAAAACGAUGAGUGCUAGUUGUUUGGGGCUAUCCAGCCCUAAGUGACGCAGCAAAACGCAU